rnacentral:rRNA from 1 species
GUAGCCAGCUGAGCAAGUCCCCAGUUAAACCCAGCGAUUUAAUCGUUGGACUGCUGAGGAUACUGUCCGGCUUGGGGGUGAGAGAGGCCGACGGUAUUCCCGGGGUAGGGGUGAAAUCCUAUAAUCCCGGGAGGACCACCAGUGGCGAAGGCUGUCGGCUAGAACAUGCCCGACGGUGAGGGAUGAAAGCUGGGGGAGCGAACCGGAUUAGAUACCCGGGUAGUCCCAGCUGUAAACGAUGCAGGCUAGGUGUUAGUGCGGCCACGUGCCGCUCUAGUGCCGCAGGGAAGCUGUUAAGCCUGCCGCCUGGGGAGUACGGCCGCAAGGCUGAAACUUAAAGGAAUUGGCGGGGGAGCACCACAAGGGGUGAAGCUUGCGGUUUAAUUGGAGUCAACGCCGGAAAUCUCACCGGGGGCGACAGCAGGAUGAAAGCCAGAUUAAAGGUCUUGCCAGACGAGCUGAGAGGAGGUGCAUGGCCGUCGCCAGUUCGUGCCGUGAGGUGUCCUGUUAAGUCAGGCAACGAUCGAGACCCGCAUCUCCAGUUGCUACUAGCCUUGAGCUGGGCACACUGGGGAGACUGCCGCCGAUAAGGCGGAGGAAGGAGCGGGCCACGGCAGGUCAGUAUGCCCCGAAUCUCCCGGGCCACACGCGAGCUGCAAUGGCAGGUACAAUGGGAUCCGACCUCGAAAGGGGAAGGCAAUCUCUAAAGCCUGCCGUAGUUGGGAUCGAGGGUUGAAACCCACCCUCGUGAACAUGGAAUCCCUA